rnacentral:pre_miRNA from 1 species
GGCCUCCCUCUUUGGGGCAAUCGAUCACGGGGCUCCGCGAUCGCAAUCGGGCUCCGAGAUCGAUUGCCCAGCAGAGGGAGGCC